GACGAACGCUGGCGGCGUGCUUAACACAUGCAAGUCGAACGGAAAGGCCCUGCUUUUGUGGGGUGCUCGAGUGGCGAACGGGUGAGUAACACGUGAGUAACCUGCCCUUGACUUUGGGAUAACUUCAGGAAACUGGGGCUAAUACCGGCUAGGAGCUCCUGCUGCAUGGUGGGGGUUGGAAAGUUUCGGCGGUUGGGGAUGGACUCGCGGCUUAUCAGCUUGUUGGUGGGGUAGUGGCUUACCAAGGCUUUGACGGGUAGCCGGCCUGAGAGGGGGACCGGCCACAUUAGGACUGAGAUACGGCCCAGACUCGUAUGGGAGGCAGCGGUGGGGAAUAUUGCACAGUGGGCGGGAGCCAGGUGCGACAACGCCGCGUUGGGGAAGACGGCCUGCGGGUUGGGAACCGCUUUCGGCUGUGACGAAGCGUGAGUGACGGUAAUGGGAAAAGAAGCACCGGCUAACUACGUG
rnacentral:rRNA from 1 species